rnacentral:rRNA from 1 species
UGAGGAAUAUGGACAAUGGGUGAGAGCCUGAUCCAGCCAUCCCGCGUGAAGGACGACUGCCCUAUGGGUUGUAAACUUCUUUUAUACUGGGAUAAACCUACCCUCGUGAGGGUAGCUGAAGGUACAGUAUGAAUAAGCACCGGCUAACUCCGUGCCAGCAGCCGCGGUAAUACGGAGGGUGCAAGCGUUAUCCGGAUUUAUUGGGGUUUAAAGGGUCCGUAGGCGGGCUCGUAAGUCAGUGGGUGAAAUCUCAUAGCUUAACUAUGAAACUGCCAUUGAUACUGCGGGUCUUGAGUAAGUAGAAGUGGCUGGAAUAAGUAGUGUAGCGGUGAAAUGCAUAGAUAUUACUUAGAACACCAAUUGCGAAGGCAGGUCACUAUGUUUUAACUGACGC